AUUGAACGCUAGCGGCAGGCCUAACACAUGCAAGUCGAGCGAGCGGCGGACGGGUGAGUAAUAUGUGGGGACUUCCCUAUAGAGGGGGAUUACUACUGGAAACGGUAACUAAUCACGCAUUCUAUUGGAUUACCCCUUUGGGAUUCGCUAGGUGGUGAGGUAAUGGCUCACCUAGGCGACGAGCCCUAGCUGGUCUGAGAGGCUGAUCAGCCACACUGGGACUGAGACACGGCCCAGACUCCUACGGAGGCAGCAGUGGGGAAUAUUGCACAAUGGGCGCAAGCCUGAUGCAGCCAUGCCGCGUGUAUGAAGAAGGCCCUAGGGUUGUAAAGUACUUUCAGUCGGGAGGCGUUACCGACAGAAGAAGCACCGGCUAACUACGUGCCAGCAGCCGCGGUAAUAC
rnacentral:rRNA from 1 species